rnacentral:rRNA from 1 species
GAUGAACGCUGGCGGCGUGCCUAAUACAUGCAAGUAGAACGCUGAAGGAGGAGCUUGCUCUUCUUGAUGAGUUGCGCACGGGUGAGUAACGCGUAGGUAACCUGCCUGGUAGCGGGGGAUAACUAUUGGAAACGAUAGCUAAUACCGCAUGACAGCAGUUAUUGCAUGAUAACUGUUUAAAAGGGGCAACUGCUCCACUACCAGAUGGACCUGCGUUGUAUUAGCUAGUUGGUGCGGUAACGGCUCACCAAGGCGACGAUACAUAGCCGACCUGAGAGGGUGAUCGGCCACACUGGGAAUGAGACACGGCCCAGACUCCUACGGGAGGCAGCAGUAGGGAAACUUCGGCAAUGGACGGAAGUCUGACCGCGCAACGCCGCGUGAGUGAAGAAGGUUUUCGGAUCGGAAAGCUCUGUUGUAUGAGAAGAACGAGUGUGAGAGUGGAAAGUUCACACUGUGACGGUAUCUUAACAGAAAGGGACGGCUAACUACGUG